GGGGUGAGUAACACGUGGAUAACCUACCUAUAAGACUGGGAUAACUUCGGGAAACCGGAGCUAAUACCGGAUAAUAUUUUGAACCGCAUGGUUCAAAAGUGAGAGACGGUCUUGCUGUCACUUAUAGAUGGAUCCGCGCUGCAUUAGCUAGUUGGUAAGGUAACGGCUUACCAAGGCAACGAUGCAUAGCCGACCUGAGAGGGUGAUCGGCCACACUGGAACUUAGACACGGUCCAG
rnacentral:rRNA from 1 species